AGAGUUCAAGUGAAUCGUAACCAUCUCGAAAGUCCUAUUACAAGUUCCAAUAACAACUUUGCUGCAUAAAUCAUCUUCUAAAUGUCUUACCAUCACUUGCUGGACGGCAAUUUUGAACAUUCGGCGCUUUUCCAUGUCGACUUCCUCGAGGCCCCUGCAAAUGUCUACUUAUUAUCGUAUGCUGGAUGCAGAUUAUACUCCCAACAGGGAGUAAUACGUACAACGAACGGAGGUGGACGAGUCCAUCAAAGAUCGAUAUUUGAAGAUUGUUGAUGGGGUUGUAU